rnacentral:lncRNA from 1 species
AGUGCUCAGCAGGGCGAGGACAGGACAGAACGGGCCCCAUCACAGACUGCGCUUAGAAGGAACUCAGUAAAACAAAGACCAUUUUCUUCUGGAGGCAACUCAAGGAGGUAAGACUGUGAGUCAAGCGCCUUGGAGGAUAAGAAGUCCAGAUUUCCAGCAUCACUGGUACUCAAUAUUGAAGGAAUGAAAAUACGUGAGGAAUAAAAGAAUGAAGAAAGUGACCUCUACCGCAAGGACACAGGCCCUGAAGGCUGAGACUGUGAAGGGGGCAGGCAAAGAUCCACGCCCAGACAGGCCACCCCUGCUCUCCUGGGAAAGGGGCCGAGAGCCAGAGAGUUCGGGGCAGAGAGAGCCUGAGUGCGAGGCCCAGGCCAGGGCCUUUACCAGCAAAGACCGGCCCCUCUGCCUGCGCCCUGAGGUCAUGGAGAAA